GUUCUGCCGGUUUGUGGCCUGAAGCCCCGAGGAGCUCAUGGUCACACAGCCUGAGGGACCAACACACAGAAGAGUUCAAACGUUUCAGGGGGCGCUCCUGUACCUGCAGCUACUGAAAUCAAUGGAAAACAAAGUUCCACCAUUAAUUUUACUUCUCAGCUGCACCUGUUGACACAGGACUGUGAAGGUGCACGGGAGGAUCCUGGGUCAGAACCAGAACCAGGCGGUCUGAGCUCAGAACAAAGCAGCAGGUGUCUCUAGACCAGUGGUUCGCAAACUUUUCAGCGUUUGACCCACAAAAUUUCAGCAGCAGAGACUUGUGUCUCCAGCUGUUGUCGGUUGUUUUCACGUCAAAUAAACUAGAGCAUAUUUA